UACGUAGGGGGCAAGCGUUGUCCGGAUUUAUUGGGCGUAAAGAGCGUGUAGGCGGUUUGGUAGGUCCGUUGUGAAAACUCGAGGCUCAACCUGGAGACGCCACCCGAUACUGCCAUGGCUUGAGUCCGGUAGGGGACCACGGAAUUCCUGGUGUAGCGGUGAAAUGCGCAGAUAUCAGGAGGAACACCGGUGGCGAAGGCGGGUCUCUGGGCCGAUACUGACGCUGAGGAGCGAAAGCGUGGGGAGCGAACAGG
rnacentral:rRNA from 1 species